rnacentral:lncRNA from 1 species
UCUUUGUCAGUCACAGCCGUGAAGGGUACCAGUACAGGGCUGUACUCCCAGUGUACCCCAGUUUGCCUUCUGCAGCUUCAUCUCUGUCCAUACACUGGGGAUGCCUCGGUGAAGGCCCCAGCUGGCUCUGGACCUAGGUCAGGCCUGCUAGAAAACCCCAGGCCUUGUUAUUCCAGGAGUUGUCCAGAAUCCAGCAGCCUCAGCAUCACCUGCAGGAUCUUUACAAAUGCAGGGCCCCCCACCCACUGACUCAAGUCUCUCCAGCUCCUCAGUCACGUGUGAGGCCCUGAGGUGUGUGGACUGAGGACCACUGCCUGGGGCAGGGAGACUGAGGGUGGACCCUUCUGUUCCCAGGUCACAGAGGACAGGACCAACGCAAAAGCAGGAAUUCUCCCCAGGUUCUGAGCCAGCCUCCAGCUUAGUCCUGGGAGGCCUGCCAGAAAGGGCUCAGUCACUGUCAGGCACACCACCGUGUCAGGCGUAACAAAGCCACCCAGGAAUGCAGGUGGAAAGGAGAACUUGCUUGAAUUCUGGGGCCAUUGUGUUCUACCAUGCUUCUCAAGCCAAUCCACUCCAUUUCUCCACCCACUGGCAAACCUUUACCCCGCCCAGCCCGGUGCUAUUUGCACUGGCCACCAGCCCAAUCCUUCCCUCCCCUCCUCUUGGCUUCCCUUUGGAGAAAGUUUAAAAGGUUGGCUCCCUGUGACCGCUUUAAUCAUAUUCUGUUAUCUUGAUCAGCAUUUUAGCUUUACACUGUAAGACAUUCUGCCUCGAAUUCAGACCUUUCUGGGGGAGGGGAAGGAGUUGGAAAGAAGAUUAUUGAUGAUGGCUAUAUUUUAUUAUGUGUGAUGGUCAUGGGUUAGACAUGCAGUUUGUCAAGCUGGAAGCUGGGGUGGGAGGGGAAGAAAGACACUAAACACUGUGAAGUCACAGAGCAAAAUAUUUUUCAAGGACACAUCAAAGCCUUUUUCCAUGGUGUCUUGCACUGACCCCAUUUCACACUGGCAAACCACAAGCUGAAAUUAAAAUAAAAAUACCAGGCUGGUUCCAUUUAGCCAGUUGAGCUGCUCAGUUCAGUCACUCAUUUUAUGAAAGUCACUAAAUGCAAACAUUCCAAGAUUUAUUUUCCUUGCUUAUAAUUUUUCUGCCUUUCCACUGGUGGGCUGUUUAUUUCUAAUAAUUUGGUAGGAGAAAACAUUUGCUCAUAGUAGUGGAGGUCUUAUAUGCCAACUACAAACCAAAGCACAUUUUACUGUGGAAUAAAACCCCUGGAAAACAGGCUCCAGGGGCGCCCACGCAUGGCAAGUUUACAGGCAUAGUACAAUUGACGCCAUUAUAAUUAGUUCCCCCCGAAAGUCUUAUUUUUCAGAGCAGAGCUCUGAAUCUUUCUCUUCGCACACGCAUAUCUCUGGGCCAGAGCAAAAACAUUAUGGAGGGUGAGUCAUAGAGCAGCUUUGGGCUUUAAAGACUAACGCAGAUCCUAUAAAUCUAACCCACAUUCUUUUACUGGGAAUGACUGACUUUUAUGAAAACCAAG